GGCCCCGCGGGGGCUGCCGCCCGCGGCCCGCCCCGGCGCUGCCCCGCUCCGCUCUUCUGUUCGGGGUUUGACCCGCUCCCGCUUCCCCGCUGCAGCCGGGCAUCCGCGGCGGAGCGGGACGAGCCCCGGGCAGCCGGGAACGACCGGGCUGGGCCCCGUUCUGCGGCGGGGAGUCCCGGGGGAGGCGGCCCCGGCGCUGGCAGCGGCCUGGGACACGCUUCGCUCACCGCAAACACUUUGUGUCCCGCUCUUCCCCCACCCCGCCCCGCGUUAUUUCCUUCGCGCUGUUGUGUUUAAACGCUGCUUGAUGCGGUCCCAUGGCGGGGGAGGGGGAGGGAAGUCCAGCCCCAGAGAGGGGUGACAGCAGCUGAAAGGGCUCCCGGAGCCCUCCCGGGUCAGGAAUUGCUGCGGCAGUGCCGGGUCCCUCUCUCCUGCUGCUGACUUGGGCCUUGCUGCUGAAGCCCCCUCUCUGGAGGGGACGGUGGCUGCAGCUCAGGAGGGAGCCGCGGGGCUGUGGGGCGGCUGCCUCUGGCCUGGGUUCCUUUUGGGGCGGGAGGUUGCCACUUUGGCUCAUCCUCUGCUGCCACUUCUCUCUCACGGGUGGUGUGAGCACGUCUGGGAGGAGCAAACGCAGAGCUGUGGGGCCCUGUGGGCGGUGGUGGAAGCGGCCAGCGCCGGCGCCUCGGUUCUCUGCCUGUGUGAGAAGGGAGAUGCCAAGGUCACAGAAGAGACAGGCAAGAUGUCCAAGAAGGAAAAAGAAAUGAAAACAGGAAAGUGCCGGGUCCUUGUUGCUAUUCCGAGGGUGGUGUUUCUCACAGAGCCUGCGGCAGCUGCUCUUCAAGAUGCUGCAGGAGAUGUGCAGCCUACUGGCAGUACCUCCUAGGCUACCUGCUGCUCGGGGGCAGCGCUGUGGCCGUCACCAAGGGAGACAGAGAACGUUGGGCGCUGCUGAUGUCACACAGGGGCUGUUCCAGACCCCACCCGGCGUUUGUGACCUCACCUGGCCAGGGACUAUAAAGCCUCCCAGGGGACAGCUGAGCUGCCUUCGGGAGGACUCAGCUCCUUCUUUGGCUACUUGCCUUCCUGCUUGCUUCCAGACAUUUCUCGUUUGCUGACCACUUCUCCUCAACUUCCAUCCUCUUCCAAAGAUGCUGCUGUGGCUCUGUGCAAUGGCUCUUUGCUUGGCCAGCGUGAUCCCCUACGCCGUGCCUGGAGCGCUGGCACUGCUGGGCUGCUGGUGGCUCUACUCCCACAGCAAAGAGCAGGCCAGAGCUGGUGCUGAAGCGACAGCAGCUGCUGAGGAAGCACAGCAGAGAGGAGGGACAGAGGAGGAAUCAUCGCCCCAAGGGGAAUCCUGUGUCCCUCAGGAGCUGCCUUUGUCAGCAGCAGAGGAAUGCCCAGGGACCAACCUUCAGGAUGUGUCAGCUGCAACAGCUGAGCCCAGCACUGCUGAGGGUGACACGGCAGGAGCAGAGACAGGAGGCUGUGCAGAGGAGAGCGGCGUCCCUGCUGCUGUUUCUGUCCCCGGGCAGAGCACAGUGUCCCGGCAGCGCUGCAGCCAGCCCCGCACAGGGCUCAGGCUCAGGCGCCGACGCAGAGCAGCGCCAGCAGCGCCGGCAGCGCCAGCAGCGCGUGUGGGAGCCGGGCAGGAGCUGAGCAGUGCCCAGAGCGCUCCCAGGGAAGCGGCCACAGGCGCUGAGGAAGC